rnacentral:rRNA from 1 species
UACGGAAGGCAGCAGUGGGGAAUAUUGCACAAUGGGCGAAAGCCUGAUGCAGCUAUGCCGCGUGUAUGAAGAAGGCCUUAGGGUUGUAAAGUACUUUCAUCGGGGAGGAAAAAACAAAACUAAUAAUUUUAUUUCUUGACGUUACCCGAAAAAGAAGCACCGGCUAACUCCGUGCCAGCAGCCGCGGUAAUACGGAGGGUGCUAGCGUUAAUCAGAAUUACUGGGCGUAAAGAGCACGUAGGUGGUUUUUUAAGUUCAGAUGUGAAAUCCCUGGGCUUAACCUAGGAACUGCAUUUUGAAACUGAAAUAACUAGAGUAUCGUAGAGGGAGGUAGAAUUCUAGGUGUAGCGGUGAAAUGCGUAGAUAUCUGGAGGAAUACCUGUGGCGAAAGCGGCCUCCUAAACGAAUACUGACACUGAGGUGCGAAAGCGUGGGGAGCAAACAGGAUUAGAUACC